rnacentral:rRNA from 1 species
GAUGAACGCUAGCGGGAGGCUUAAUACAUGCAAGUCGAGCGGUAACUAUGAGUAGCAAUACGAGUAGCUAGAGCGGCGCACGGGUGAGUAACGCGUACAUGACCUGCCCUUUACUGGGGGAUAGCCUCGGGAAACUGAGAUUUAAUACCCCAUGGUAUUAUUAUGCUGCAUGGUGUGAUAAUUAAAGCUGAGGCGGUAAAGGAUGGGUGUGCGUCUGAUUAGCUAGUUGGAAAGGUAACGGCUUACCAAGGCGAUGAUCAGUAGGGGGC